UACGGGGGGGGUAAGCGUUGUUCGGAAUUACUGGGCGUAAAGGGCUCGUAGGCGGCCAACUAAGUCAGACGUGAAAUCCCUCAGCUUAACUGGGGAACUGCGUCUGAUACUGGAUGGCUUGGAUCCGGGAGAGGGAUGCGGAAUUCCAGGUGUAGCGGUGAAAUGCGUAGAUAUCUGGAGGAACACCGGUGGCGAAGGCGGCAUCCUGGACCGGUAUUGACGCUGAGGAGCGAAAGCCAGGGAGCAAAGCGGG
rnacentral:rRNA from 1 species